CGUUAAUGAAACAUGCGCCUAAAGGGUUUCUUCUCCAUUCACUUUGAACCGAAACCCUGAAACCCUUGGCGCCUCCAUUCUUCUCCAUCCAUCCAUCGGUCGAGUUCCACCGGCCGACGACCAUACCGGCAGGAGAUCUGAACCUACCGGAGUGGGAGCCCCCUGACGCCGCUUUACACCCCCUCCGGUGACCCACCGGUCGACGCCGACAACCAUACCGGCAGGAGAAUCAAGGUUUUGGAGAAAAUAUUCAAUCUAUUACAGAUGGAAGUGGUCCACGAAGCACCAUUCCUUAUCUUUGGAAUUGGCAACAAGUUCACAACAUGCCAUCACCUAUGCAGCACCACAUUGGCUCAUGUUUUACCAUUCUAGCUCUUUUGUAGAGGUACGUGGAAAUGUGUCUAGCCAAACCAUCUCUACUGGAUCUCAUAUGAGCCAGGAAUCAUCAUGGAUAUGGAUCGGACCAUGUCAAGACCAACAGCCGGAAAAGUGGAGUUAUCAUUUGCUGUUUUUUUUUCACACAGUACAUUUUUUCUGUUUUGAUGUUCUAUCAAUCUCUUUAUUUGUGAAGUCUCUCUAAUUUUCUAUUAAGAGCUAUUCUAGCAGUUUGGCUGAAGCACUCUAAUGAAAAAUGUUUGAUGAACAUAGAUAAGAAUGUCUAUCUCUCGAUCCACCAGGCUGCAUCAAGGACUAAAGGAGGUUCAAGUGGUUCACCUGUCAUUGAUUGGCAAGGAAGAGCAGUAGCAUUGAAUGCUGUCAGCAAAUCAUCAAGUGCUUCUGGAUGCCCAAGCCUUUCAAGUGGUUCACCUUUCAAUGCCUUAGGCCAUGUAACUAGACUUUAUUUCGGAUAAUAUCUAAAUUUGCUUCUAGGUGCCUACUAAAUACUAAUAAAUCGGAGUGAUAAGGGAAGUUUGAACCGGAAGGCAGAUGGCAGAAAGAGAUUGGAUUUCAAACCAAGAAAUUCUUAUUCAAAGAGACGAAGAUAAAAGGGCAAGAAGCUGUUAAAGUAAGGGAAGAGAAGAUAGUGAUGAUUUACCUAGUGGGAAAAGUGACAACAUGAUUCAAAGGAUUUCUAGACGUGGCGACGGAUCAGUGAAGAUACAAAACUGGAGGGACUUGCAGGUUGCAGCAUAUGCCUUUUUUAUGAUUAUUUAUUUAUUUUGCUGUAUGUUCAUUGCAUCAAUUUUGCUUGCACUAUAAAGUCCAUGGAUAACAAACCAUCAUCAAAGUUCCAAAAUAUAAUUCUCAAAUCA